GUCACUGAGAUACAAGCGCAAAACAUUCAAUAUGAAAUUUAUUCUGCUCCUUGCUAUGCUCAUGGCGGUCGCUUGUGCCGAUGAUCUAACGAAGAAGUUGCUGGAAAUACAAAGUUCUGUUAAUAUCAGUCCGGAACAGGCCCAUGGUUUUCUUGACUCAGUUGUUGGGUUCUUCAAAGAUAACGCUGGAACCAUCGGAGCUAUCGCCAAUGGUUUGAUUGGCAUUGCACUCGGCUAAGCGGUUCCAAACUGGACGAACAGAACUGUCUACGGCUUAUUUUUCAAGACUGUAAUAUGCAUUUCAAUGAAUAAAUUGUUUGAAAUUACAAA